UCUCACAUGAGAACACUGCCUGGAUGCAUC
rnacentral:piRNA from 2 species